CGCGGAUCAGCUCCAUACACGGACUGUUCUCCGGCCAUUUGGCCUUUAAAGUCUCCCAGGCGACGCUGACGGUUGCACCGAUGGAAGAUUCUCACACACAAAACCACAGCUAGGAACUGUACAAUGCGUCUGAGGAGAUGAAAGAAGCGAAGGGUGAACGUAUAUCCUGGUACAUAUUUCCAAAAUUGAUUUGGAAAUCACGAGUGACAUGCAGAGUAUCUUUUAAUCGUCCAGAUUGAAAUCAUACGUCUUAGACACCUCGAAUAAAAUAUUUAAAUACGAUAGAUAGAAUAUUUCAAAUUACUGAAUGAAUGAAACGAAGAUGCGUGAAGGUGAUGUAAUUGUAUUUGCAGAUGUACAGAUCUCGUCGCAGGAUAAUACAGUGAGCAGAGAGUGUCUCACCAGAGAUAAAAUUCGUGUCGAUGUCAUGUGAAUGAAAAAAGUCGAGCUUACCGAACAAGGGAUCCGAUGCCCGCCUCGGAUGUUUCCUCCCGAGAGACCUCGUUUCUCAACGAUCGGCCCUCGCGCGGCGCAGUCGAUCGGCGGCACGAUAGAAAUGACUAAACUAAAAAAACGGCUGCGACCCCGGUCAAAAGCGAGGCUUCAUGAAGAAGAAAGGAGGGAAGAAAAAAGUGAAGAGGAGUCGGAACGAGCGUGCUACCUAACUACUCGGAUUGCGAAACCGCAUGAUGACGACGAUGUUACUUCACCUACGAUCUACACCGCGGCUUGCGAGGCGAAAAUCGCGGUGGAGCCCUCGACCCGCGGCAUCGACUAAGCAGAGCGGGUACACGGCGGGGUUUAAGGAAUCGGGAGAUCGGGGGAAUAUGGCCAGCCUUCCCCGAACGCGCAGGAUUCGAUCGAUGGUCCACGAGAGAGGGAGACGCAUUAUCAUCCCGCGCGUGUCCCUCGUCCGCGCACUCGCUCCUCUCGAAAACGGGGGUGGAAUAAAACCCGCGCCCCUUAAGUACGAAUGAAAACGUUGCGAUUUCUUACACAAUCAUGGGGAAGUAAUCGAAAGGCGUACAAAUCGGUUAUAUCUAUUCUUUUUAAUAGAAAACAAAAAGGCGAGAUUUCCGCAGUUAUAAAAAUAUUGGAGGGCUGAUGAGUAAUGCAAUUGUCGUUUGUUAAAGGAACGCUUUCAUCACUUUAUUUGUAUAAUUAUUAAUCACACAAUUUUGUGUAUCGAGUAGAAAUAAAGUAGAUCUAAGAAAUUAGAUCUCUCUCUCUUGGUGCUCUUAAUUUAUGGAAUGAGAUAGCAAUUAUUGUGCAGCGUUUUGGGCGUAUAAUCCUUUUCUAAUACUGUGUGUGUUUGAAAUUCAGAAUUAGCAUGUCGCUCCGAUCAAAAAUUCAUGAUGAAUAUUCAAUUGCUAUUGCAUAAUUCCGAGAAUUCCUGACUACGAGAUUUGUCAUUUUGCAGUAAGCCGUGUAAUAUUCGACUUGCCGUAAAAU